GAAAAUUUAAUAACUACAGGUGCCUCACCAUGAGGAGAAUAGGGAAGUCGGUGUAAGUCCGGCGCGGUCCCGCCACUGUAAACGGGGAGCAAGAAGUAAAUAACCACGGGUUAGUUCCCGGAAGGUGCUUCGAAGUGUUGAUCCGUAAGCCAGGAGACCUGCCUUGUAGUUAAGCCAAACC
rnacentral:ncRNA from 19 species